rnacentral:lncRNA from 1 species
GUAAAAUAAUUAAUUACGGUCAUGUCAAUCAUGUUAUAUACUUGGGAUACUGUACCGCGUUCAACCAGUUAGCAAGUCAGAAAUGUCAGUUUCCUAGUACCGACUAGCACUUGAAUGCAGUAUUAUGCUGGCUUGACAUUCUCGUGGGAAAUGGGAAGUUGUAACUCCAACGUGAUUGUGUUCAAGUGCUUUUGAAGUCGGAACAAUUCUUAAACCUUUAAGAUUAGAAAAUGAUGUUGCCAAUUUCCCACUUGGAGGGUCAUUCAAGUGAAAACGUCCCAGUCGGAACGAGGAAUUUCCGAGAACUCCGACUUGUCCAGCCUUCAUACCCAUUCACGACCACCGCGGACUCCAAAUAAAGACCCUUCACACCUACCACCCUUCUAUUCAGACCACUCAGACCUACGGCUGACACCUUUAGUCUCUCUUGCUCUCUCUCUCCAUCCUCUUGAUCCAUCCUCUGGCUGCAUUUUAUGUAAGUGGAGACUUUUUCGCUUUGAAUUAAUUCAUCUUUCUUCCCAUUUCUUUUGUUUUCAAAAACCAAACCAGGUUGUAGUUUAAAAAUGCAAACCAACUGGAGGAGAUUAUUCAAAAUGUGUAGCUUAAAAUAAGUAAACAAAUCUCACUGGCCCAGGUACUGUUUCAUCUGUCAACUAACGACACUCAUUGCACUAUGCUCCUGAGGCUAUGGCAGGCAGCCUAUAUCUAGGUUACAACAGUUAGUAUGGCACAUUUUUACAUUACAGUGUGGCAUGUGGGGUAAUGUUAAAGUCUCAGGCUUUGUUUAAGUACCAGGCGAGGUCCAUUAUCAGAUCUGACCUAUAUGAUUGAGUCAUUGAAACCCACGUUACCUUCAAACAC